rnacentral:lncRNA from 1 species
CUGGACUCAUUUCAGGACUCUGAGCAGAGUUCUUAGGUCUGUAAGCCAAGCCACUUCUGUUUCUCUUUUGAGUUGCUAUAAAGUACAGACGAUUCUACCAACCUUGACACAAACGCCCAGCUGCCCCCAGUUCAGUGCCACAGAGAAAAGCCUUGCAGAACAGGUUGAGUUUGUGGAUGGGCAUGGGGUAGAAGGUAUCAUCUCUUCUCUAUCAAUGACUUGGGUGAUACUUCUGGCAACAAAACAGACAGUUCUCGGCCUCUGUGUUUUCAUUGUCCAACUGAAGAUUAGACAAGAGGCAGCAUGGGGUGGUGGAUAAAUCGUGGACCAGGAUUGAAGCGAAGAUCUGCUCAUCUGGGACACUCACCAGUUAUGAAGACCAGAAAUCUAAAAUAAAGGUGUUGGCAAGACCAUGUCCUCUCUGCAGCCUCUUGGGAAGAAUCCUUCCUUGCCUCCUCCUCUUCUGGUGGUUCUCAUUAUUCCUUGGCUUAUGGCAGAAAGAGAUGCUCCAAAGGUCAGUGACUCAGACCACUAGGUGACUUGGCUGUGGUUUCCUAUGAGUCAAGCCUACCAGACAGCAGAGGACAGAGGUGAACAGGAAACUGGGCCAGAGAAAAACCAGAGAAACAGAGAGUCAACACAGACGUCAAGGAGGCUUCCGCCCAGCUCUCUCAGGCCAAAGGGGCAGACAAACCCGUGAACUCCCAGAUAUUCAUGUCCAAGUGAAUGCAGCUGUACGAACUUCAGCUUGAAAACUUCUCUCAAAUAGCAGGUGGGGAGAACAGGUAGUAAAUGCCUGGGGUUGUGGCCGCUUCCUUCCCCAGCAGAGCUCUGCCCCAAUGAGAACACAGGAAGGGUAGAUAAGAGAGCAAAGUGGGCAGUUUUUCUUAUUUAUUUGUUUGGGUAAAGGAAAAACAAAACAAGAUGUGAACACGCAUAUCUUCACAAACUGUAAAAUUUAUCUCUGUCCUCUAUUCCCUGCAUCCUUCUCCCUACUCUAACAUCUUAACAAUCCUAAUAUUUGCCUAUUGUUACACAAAAUGUACGCCAGUAGAUAUCAACAUACCAAUUAAAAAAAAACGAAAAAAAUACUUUGCUGUUUUUCCUUGAAAGCACAAUGACAUGAGGCAUCUUUGGAGAGAAGAAGCUG